UGGAGAUGGUGAUGUUGCGAUG
rnacentral:misc_RNA from 1 species